rnacentral:tRNA from 1 species
CCCCUGGUGGCUCAGCUGGUAAAGAAUCUGCCUGCAAUGCAGGAGACCUGGGUUUGAUUCCUGGUUUGGGAA